GACGAACGCUGGCGGCGUGCCUAAUACAUGCAAGUUGAGCGCUGAAGGUUGGUACUUUUACCCACUGGAUGAGCAGCGAACGGGUGAGUAACGCGUGGGGAAUCUGCCUUUGAGCGGGGGACAACAUUUGGAAACGAAUGCUAAUACCGCAUAAAAACUUUAAACACAAGUUUUAAGUUUGAAAGAUGCAAUUGCAUCACUCAAAGAUGAUCCCGCGUUGUAUUAGCUAGUUGGUGAGGUAAAGGCUCACCAAGGCGAUGAUACAUAGCCGAGCUGAGAGGGUGAUCGGCCACAUCUGGACUGAGAACAGGCCCAAACUCCCACGGGAGGCAGCAGUAGGGAAUCUUCGGACAUGGACGAAAGGCUGACCGAGCAAAGCCGCGUGAGAGAAGAAGGUUGUCGGAUCGGAAAACCCUGUUGGUAGAGAAGAACGUUGGUGAGAGUGGAAAGCUCAUCAAGUGACGGUACCUACCGAGAAAGGGACGGCUAACUACGUG
rnacentral:rRNA from 1 species